CUGAUAUGGGAUCAUUGAGAAUGAUGUGGAAUACUUUAUCACUUUGUAUGUGAGUCAAGUCAUGUUGUUGCAACCUAACCGCCCUGUUCGAAAUUUGUUUGUUUGUUCUUUUACAAUACUUGUUCUAGUUCAAACAGAAAAACAAGCGAGGGUGCAACGUCAUAGUCAGUUAAGGUUGUCAUCACAUGCAGACAUGCUCUACUAGUUCAAAAUCAGUCACAAGUCCGAGAAAAUUAUUAAACUUCAAAACAGAGAACUAGCAAAAUCAAAAGGUUCUCUACUCUAAAUGCCCAUCUCCUACUCAAUUGCCCCUGCCAUGCCACCUGUUGAUCUGCUCAAAAUUAGCUGAGAUGGGAUUGUCCUUUCUUUGCUGCUUGGUAAUUGAGCUUCGUGGAGGAAGGGUAGCCUGUCCAAGUGGUUCUGAUGGUUUUGGUAUGUCGAUUAUGCUCUCCUAACCACACCGGAAAAGCCCAACAAGCCAACCAAAGUUGCUCUUCCGAUUUGGCCGUAAAUGAUGAAAACCAGGCUCCACUUCCGGCAACCAUUUACUACAUUUCCUCUGAGAAUCUCAAAGAUUCCAAGAUUCAGGACUGGAUUCAAAGGAUUGGACUCAAAUGUGCGAUUCUCUCAACAAUGCUAGGCGUUUUGCUCUGCUCUUUUGGUGCCUACUCUCUAAAUUCCAGAUUUUGGUCUUCGCAUUGCAGAAAGACUGUCCUUAUGGACUAAGCAAGUAAGAGUUAGCUCUGGGAAUGGGAUGCCUCUUGGAGAUGGCCAUAUCUGGAGAUAAUAUGGGCAGAAGGAAAUUCUAGGAGCCAAAUAUCCCAGGUGAUUUUGAUUUUGAAGCAGAGGAUUUAAUCUUAUUGAAGCAGUUUUAUGCCUAUAUGUCGAAAGGAACGACCAGGUGCUGAUUUAGUAUUCAUGACUGGGUGGGAGGAUAUCAGCUGUUUGAGGGAUCAACUUAAAGCCCAUCCUCUUUUAGGUGAUCCCUACCAGGGUUUUGCUUAUAACCUGCCAUGGGUCAAUGGCCACGUCUGAACAGGUACCUCCAUUUUUAGUUCGAAAGGUGUUCACGCAGAUAUUAUCCUUUAUCAAUGUUCAGUAAUUCAACAGCCUUCUAUUACGAUGAGAGUGCUGUUUGUUUAGUAAUGGGGAAUAUGUAAAAGCUGGUUUGGCUGAGUUGGAGAAUUGGUGCUAUUGUAUUGCCUUGCCUUAUUGUAUUAUAAACUCUUACAGUCUUACUGAAUAAACGAAGAUGCAGUACGCAGGUUCAGCUUGGGAUGAACUCAAGCAUAUUAGGCAAGCCAUUGGAUUCCUGCUAUCUUCUAAAUCUUAUGUUAUAUCAUUUCUCUCUACUUCCAGUAACAGUGGUGAAAGCAAUAAAUAGUAAAGUUGUCCUGAAAUUUUACAUUUUCUUUUCAGGUUACAUCAAAAACCCAAAAAGACACUUGAUGGAAGAAGCCAUGACCUGUGCUCAGUAAGUAAUGUGUAAGCAAGGAAGAAGUAAAUACAUUGCAUGUUGCUGUGGGCAAAUGUGCAUUUCAGCUUCGGACCUCUGUGUCAAUAUCUAUCUGUAAGCUACUUGGAUCGCGGUCUUUCAGCCUAUGAAAUACCUAAUGGCAAAGCUUGGACUAUGCAAUUGUUGGCUGUGGCAUGUUUGCCCCUUGCGGCCAAAAUAAAGGAGAUUAAUGUCCCACUCUACCUUGAUUUACAGGUGGCUGGGUUAAAAAAUGUAUUCGAGGCCAUUGAGAAGGAGAUGUAAGCAGUUACUCCAUUUAUCUGAACUAUUCUGAUUUAGUUGCUGAGAUGUAAGAGUUGUUUCCUUACUAGGAAGAACACUGUCUCAGCCCUAAAAUGUUGCACUUCAACAUUUAUGUAGGUGCAAGUUUCUAGAUCUUCUGUUCAACGAUUCAUUUUUGGUUGAACAGAAAUAUGUUAUCACAACUGAGGGUCAUCCCCUUCCAGUGUUAAGUAGUUGGCAGGACAGGCUUCUAGCAUCCAAACUAACUGGACUUCAAUCAAGGUCUUGCUUCUACCAAAGUGUAUACUAAAUUAUUCUUUAAGACAGUUGCUUUACUUUUACAAUAUGGCCUUACAUCUUCAAGUUAUAUUGUAAAAUGAUACCAGCUUUUAUAAUAUGUAAAAUGG